AUCGAACGCUAGCGGGAUGCUUUACACAUGCAAGUCGAACGGAGUGGCGGACGGGUGAGUAAUAUAGCGGAACAGGCCCAGUAGCGGGGGAAAACUUCUAUAAAGCGUGGCUAAUACCGCAUACUAUGUGAGCGGCCGAUAUCGUAUUAGCUAGAUGGUGGGGUAAAGGCGCACCAAGGCAACGAUCCGUAGCUGGUUUGAUAGGACGACAGGCCACACUGAGACUGAGACACGGCCCAGCCUCCUACGGGAGGCAGCAGUGGGGAAUUUUGGACCAUGGGGCAAACCCAGAUCCAGCCAUCCCGAGUGUAUGAUGAUGGCCUGCGGGUUGUAAAGUACUAUUGGCAGAGAAGCGGUAUCUGCAGAAUAAGCACCGGCUAACUACGUGCCAGCAGCCGCGGUAAUAC
rnacentral:rRNA from 1 species